rnacentral:rRNA from 1 species
UUAUCCGGAUUUACUGGGUGUAAAGGGAGCGUAGACGGCACGGCAAGCCAGAUGUGAAAGCCCGGGGCUCAACCCCGGGACUGCAUUUGGAACUGCUGAGCUAGAGUGUCGGAGAGGCAAGUGGAAUUCCUAGUGUAGCGGUGAAAUGCGUAGAUAUUAGGAGGAACACCAGUGGCGAAGGCGGCUUGCUGGACGAUGACUGACGUUGAGGCUCGAAAGCGUGGGGAGCAAACAGGAUUAGAUACCCUGGUAGUCCACGCCGUAAACGAUGACUGCUAGGUGUCGGGUGGCAAAGCCAUUCGGUGCCGCAGCUAACGCAGUAAGCAGUCCACCUGGGGAGUACGUUCGCAAGAAUGAAACUCAA